rnacentral:rRNA from 1 species
UACGGAGGGAGCUAGUGUUACUCGUCGUAAUGGGCGUAAAGGGAGCGUAGGUGCUUUGUAAGUAUUAGGUAAAAGACUGGUAAUUAGAAUCUUAACUGCUUUUAAACUGCAAAGCUUGAGUUCCACGCAAGAUGAUGGAGCACUGUGGAGAUGUGAAAUGCGACGAUACUGUGUUGACGACAUUGCGAAAGCGAUCAUCAGCUGGAUAACUGACGCUGAGGCUCUAGAGCUGGGGAGCAAAAAGG